rnacentral:rRNA from 1 species
CCUACGGGCGGCUGCAGUCAGGAAUAUUGGUCAAUGGACGCAAGUCUGAACCAGCCAUGCCGCGUGGAGGAUGAAGGUCCUCUGGAUUGUAAACUUCUUUUAUUUGGGAAGAAACUCCCGAUUUCCAUCGGGAUUGACGGUACCAGAUGAAUAAGCACCGGCUAACUCCGUGCCAGCAGCCGCGGUAAUACGGAGGGUGCAAGCGUUAUCCGGAUUCACGGGGUUUAAAGGGUGCGUGUAUGGGCAGGUAGAAAUCUCCGGGCUUAAACCGGGAACUGCCAUUGAUACUAUUUGUCUUGAAUACGCAGGAGGUGAGCGGAAUAUGUCAUGUAGCGGUGAAAUGCUUAGAUAUGACAUAGAACACCCAUUGCGAAGGCAGCUCACUAAGGAAAUAUUGACGCUGAGGCACGAAAGCGUGGGGAUCAAACAGGAUUAGAUACCCCGGUAGUC